UACGUAGGGUGCAAGCGUUGUCCGGAAUUAUUGGGCGUAAAGAGCUCGUAGGCGGUCUGUCGCGUCGGCUGUGAAAACCCGGAGCUCAACUCCGGGCCUGCAGUCGAUACGGGCAGACUGGAGUUCGGCAGGGGAGACUGGAAUUCCUGGUGUAGCGGUGAAAUACGCAGAUAUCAGGAGGAACACCGGUGGCGAAGGCGGGUCUCUGGGCCGAUACUGACGCUGAGGAGCGAAAGCGUGGGGAGCGAACAGG
rnacentral:rRNA from 1 species